rnacentral:misc_RNA from 1 species
UUGUGGAGGAGGACGCCGAAGGUGGGGCUAAUGACUGGGGUGAAGUCGUAACAAGGUAGCCGUACCGGAAGGUGCGGCUGGAUCACCUCCUAACAGGGAGACAACAAAAUGUUAAAUAUUAAUUUUGUCACCUUAGGUCGAUCGGUAUCUCACAUUCUUAAUUUAUUAAGAAUUUUAUUUCCUAAGUUUUUUCUAGGUCACACCCAUUACUUUUUCCUGGGCCAUUAGCUCAGGUGGUUAGAGCGCACCCCUGAUAAGGGUGAGGUCCCUGGUUCAAGUCCAGGAUGGCCCAUAUCUCUAUGUUGGGGGUAUAGCUCAGUUGGUAGAGCGCCUGCUUUGCAAGCAGGAUGUCAGCGGUUCGAGUCCGCUUACCUCCACUGAUCACCACCUCUUCCAUAAUUUAUAGAAGGGAAAUGUUUUGAGUUGUGAUCAAAUUCUGAACGAAUCUAGCUUCCUAAUAAAACUUAUUAAGAUGCUGGACUCAUUGAAUUAAUUUCAUUGUUUUCAGAGAACCCUGACAACUGCAUAGAUUAUUUUUAAAGACAAUAAGCAUCUUUAAUGAUGCAGAUUUAUUAUUUGUGCGAAUGCAUUAAUAACAAUUCUAUUAAGCUGAUGCUUCAAUUUUGAAGUUAUUGGUCAAGCUACAA